rnacentral:lncRNA from 10 species
GUUUCACUCUCAUUUCCUUUUAUUUUCAUUAAUAUUAGGAAAUGCCAAGAUUAGUGAAAGAAUGAAAAGAGUCAAAACAGCCUAGAAAAGGCUUCAAUGAUCCUCAAACUGGAUGAUCGAAUCCCGAAUAAUUGGGAAUCAACAGUAAAGGCCAAAGCUUUCGAUGGAUUGGACGAGGCGCGUCCACCCUGGGGAGGGCCAUCAUUUUAUUCAGUCUACUGAUGCAAAUGCUUAUCUCUUCUGGAAACACCUUCACAGACAGACCCAGAAUAUAGUUGAACCAAAUACUGGGCACCUCAUGGCUCCAACAGGUUGACACAAAAAAUGAACCAUUGCAGAAAAC